GAUGAACGCUGGCGGCGUGCCUAAUACAUGCAAGUCGAGCGAACAGAUGAGGAGCUUGCUCCUCUGACGUUAGCGGCGGACGGGUGAGUAACACGUGGAUAACCUACCUAUAAGACUGGGAUAACUUCGGGAAACCGGAGCUAAUACCGGAUAAUAUAUUGAACCGCAUGGUUCAAUAGUGAAAGACGGUUUUGCUGUCACUUAUAGUUGGAUCCGCGCCGCAUUAGCUAGUUGGUAAGGUAACGGCUUACCAAGGCAACGAUGCGUAGCCGACCUGAGAGGGUGAUCGGCCACACUGGAACUGAGACACGGUCCAGACUCCUACGGGAGGCAGCAGUAGGGAAUCUUCCGCAAAGGGCGAAAGCCUGACGGAGCAACGCCGCGUGAGUGAUGAAGGUCUUCGGAUCGUAAAACUCUGUUAUUAGGGAAGAACAAAUGUGUAAGUAACUAUGCACGUCUUGACGGUACCUAAUCAGAAAGCCACGGCUAACUACGUG
rnacentral:rRNA from 1 species